AUUGAACGCUGGCGGCAUGCUUUACACAUGCAAGUCGAACGGUAACAGGCCGCAAGGUGCUGACGAGUGGCGAACGGGUGAGUAAUGCAUCGGAACGUGCCCAGUCGUGGGGGAUAACUGCUCGAAAGAGCAGCUAAUACCGCAUACGAUCUAUGGAUGAAAGCGGGGGACCGUAAGGCCUCGCGCGAUUGGAGCGGCCGAUGUCAGAUUAGGUAGUUGGUGGGGUAAAGGCGCACCAAGCCAACGAUCUGUAGCUGGUCUGAGAGGACGACCAGGCACGAUGGGACUGAGACACAGCCCAGACUCCUACGGGAGGCAGCAGGGGGGAAUUUUGGACAAUGGGGGCAAACCUGAUCCAGCAAUGCCGAGUGCAGGAAGAAGGCCUUCGGGUUGUAAACUGCUUUUGUACGGAACGAAACGGUCUGGGUUAAUACCCUGGGCUAAUGACGGUACCGUAAGAAUAAGCACCGGCUAACUACGUGCCAGCCGCCGCCGUAAAAC
rnacentral:rRNA from 1 species